rnacentral:rRNA from 1 species
CUUUAGUAAUUGCGAAUGAACAAGGAUAUGCUUAGCUUGACAAAUGGAGCUAUUGGCUUUGAAUUGUAUUGUGGAAAUGUAUUACCAACAGAGGUGCAGGUGCCAGCCUAUUGAAAUAAAGCGUCAAUGAGGGUGAGAAUCCUGUUUGUCAUGUGCAGCCCUUUGUGCACGGUGUAUAUUUGCUGAGUCACACUCCUUGGCAUUGGAAUGCAAAGUGGGUGGUAAGUUUCAUGUAAAGGUAAACAUGCAAUUGAGACUGAUAGCACACAAGUACCAUGAGGGAAAUAUGAAAAGGACUUUGAAAAGAGAAUUAAAUGAGUUUGUAUUUGCUGAACACAAAGUAAACAGACUUGAUUUGCUUGGUGGGAGUGUUGCACUUGCUUGACAAGAGCUUUGGGCUGUGGGUGUAAUGAUUCUUUCUUUGCAUGCCAGUUUCUAUUUGUACAUCUGAUUACCUUUGCACAUGAAUGAUAAGUCUCCUGUGGGGGGUGGAUUGCAUGUGCAUGUAAUGAUUUGUGUUUUGAUAAAUGUGUCUGGUGUAUGUGUGUGUUCCUGUGCUUGGGGAUGCUUCCUUCCUUGGACUUACAAGCCCUGACACACACAUGCUGGCAAAAUGCUUCUGCUUGACCCGUCUUGAAACACGGACCAAGGAGUCUAACAGAUGUGCAAAGUUUGAAGGUGGUAUACCUUUGUGUGCAAUGAAAGUGUCAGCUGGGAUAUGUGCACCAGCACCCAAUUAAUUAGCGGACAGAGGUUUGAGUUGGAGCAUAUCUAUUAGGACCCGAAAGAUGGUGAACUAUGCCUGAACAGAAUGAAUUCAGAGGAAACUCUGAUGGAGGUUCGUAUCGAUACUGACGUGCAAAUCGUUCGUCAUAUUUGGGUAUAGGGGCGAAAGACUAAUCGAACCAU